AAGGUGACAUGAGUCUUAACCUGCUGUUCGGAGGAUUUCACCAAGACUGUCCUAGAGAGCUGAAACUUCAACCUCUGACGACAGGCUAUCCAGAACCCAAAUGGCAGCUCCAAAGGCACUGCUGCAGUCCACAAGUUGUUUUAAACAGCCCCAACUGCCACUCCUCCUACACAGGGGAAUUCUGCCAAAGGUUCAAGAACACCCACUGCUUUGGCUGCUGCAGACUCUCUGAAACGGAGGGUAUUUCAUUAUCGUCACAUAUCAUUAUCCUCAAAUAUAACUUGUCUUGUAGCAAACAU